UACGUAGGGGGGCAAGCGUUGUCCGGAUUUAUUGGGCGUAAAGAGCGUGUAGGCGGCUAGGUAGGUCCGUUGUGAAAACUCGAGGCUCAACCUCGAGACGUCGAUGGAAACCAUCUAGCUAGAGUCCGGAAGAGGAGAGUGGAAUUCCUGGUGUAGCGGUGAAAUGCGCAGAUAUCAGGAGGAACACCCGUGGCGAAAGCGGCUCUCUGGGACGGUACUGACGCUGAGACGCGAAAGCGUGGGGAGCAAACAGG
rnacentral:rRNA from 1 species